rfam:Pristionchus pacificus strain PS312 contig3043, whole genome shotgun sequence.
UAGGCGCCUAGGAACCACUUGAUAUUUGUAUGUUGCGUGGGCCGAAAAUCGCCAAUAUUAAAUAGAUCGAAUAAAGGUCGUUCGUUCACUUCUUCCUAGUGCUCGGGCAUUACCAAUUUGAAAAACAUUU